UGGCUCAGAUGGUAGAGCAUCUGCCCGCAAUGCGGGAGACCCAGGUUCGAUCCCUGG
rnacentral:tRNA from 1 species